CACUGCAGCUUGGAGUAGGCCUACCCAUCAGAUUAGACCGCGGGCAGGCUUGCUAUGCGGCGGCCACUGGGUUGGUUUUGCAGCCGUCUGUUGAAGAGUUUCUCCUCCCGAGCUCAGGUGCUCCAGUCAAUCAUGGACUUCCUGGACGAAAUCAAGGAGAAACUCAUGGGAGACAGUGACCCCUCCUCACAGGUGAUUACAUCUCUGGCAGGUGGCUCCGAAUAAGAUUAAACUUUGUAAUGUCCCACCUCCAAUACAGUACAAUACCCAAUACAAUACUGGAUGAAGAGCUUGGAGAUGGAGCUAUUCACAACAGAGAGCAUUCAUUGUCCCAGGUGGUUUUCAGUGUCAGAUGUCUGGACAUCCUUGCUCACAUCUUGCUUAAAGCUGGCUUUCCUGUUGUUGAUUAUUAGUUGACAAUUAUUAGUUGUUCCUGAUUUAGUAGGGUGGCCUAUGUGUUUAAUUUGGGGGCUUGUGGGAUUCGCAUGUUAAUUUUUGGAG